rnacentral:rRNA from 1 species
AAUCAACGCUGGCGGCGUGCCUCAGACAUGCAAGUCGAACGAUUAAAGCUCUCUUCGGAGAGUGCAUAAAGUGGCGCACGGGUGAGUAACACGUAAGUAAUCUACCUUCGAGUGGGGAAUAACGUCCGGAAACGGACGCUAAUACCGCAUAACGCAGCGGCAUCGCAAGAUGACAGUUGUUAAAGAUUUAUCGCUUGAAGAGGAGCUUGCGGCAGAUAGCUUGUUGGUAAGGUAACGGCUUACCAAGGCUACGAUCUGUAUCCGGUCUAAGAGGACGGUCGGACACACUGACACUGAUAACGGGUCAGACUCCUACGGGAGGCAGCAGUCGGGAAUUUUGGGCAAUGGGGGAAACCCUGACCCAGCAACGCCGCGUGAAGGAUGAAGUAUUUCGGUAUGU